UGGUCCCAUCAUCUAGCGGUCUAGGAUGUCGGCCUCUCACGUCGAAAACACGGGUUCGAGUCCCGUUGGGACCAU
rnacentral:tRNA from 1 species